rnacentral:misc_RNA from 1 species
UCUCCGUUGAUGAACCAGCGGAGGGAUCAUUAAAGAGUUCUAUAACUCCCAAACCCAUGUGAACAUACCUUACGUUGCCUCGGCAGGUCGCGCCUACCCCGUAACGUCCUACCCUGUAGGACCUACCCGGUAGACGCGGGUAAGCCUGCCGGCGGCCCACGAAACUCUGUUUAAUAUUGAAUUCUGAACCUAAAACUAAAUAAGUUAAAACUUUCAACAACGGAUCUCUUGGUUCUG